rnacentral:rRNA from 1 species
GAUCCAUUGGAGGGCAAGUCUGGUGCCAGCAGCCGCGGUAACACCAGCUCCAAUAGCGUAUAUUAAAGUUGUUGCAGUUAAAAAGCUCGUAGUUGGAUAUCUGGUUCAGAUGGCUGGCCCGCCUCUUUCGGGAGCGUGUGUGCCGGUUCAACUGUACCAUCCUUCCGAGGAGCUUUUCUGCUCUUCACUGAGUGGAGAAGUAACUCGGAUCUUUUACUUUGAAAGAAUUAGAGUGUUCAAAGCAGGCGUUUGCUUGAAUACAUUAGCAUGGAAUAAUAAAAUAGGACUCCGGUUCUAUUUUGUUGGUUUCUAGAACCAGAGUAAUGAUUAAAAGGGACAGUUGGGGGUGCUUGUAUUGGGCGGCCAGAGGUGAAAUUCUUGGAUUCGCUCAAGACAAACUUAUGCGAAAGCAUUCACCAAGGAUGUCUUCUUUAAUCAAGAACGAAAGUUGGGGGAUCGAAGACGAUCAGAUACCGUCGUAGUCUCAACCAUAAACUAUGCCAACUAAGGAUCAGCGGACGUUGUUCUAGACUCCGUUGGCACUUUACGAGAAAUCAAAGUCUUUGGGUUCCGGGGGGAGUCUGGUCGCAAGGCUGAAACUUAAAGGAAUUGACGGAAGGGCACCACAACGGCGUGGAGCCUGCGGCUUAAUUUGACCCAACACGGGGAAAUUUACCAGGUCCGGACAUAGGAAGGAUUGACAGAUUGCAGAUCUUUCUUGAUUCUAUGGAUGGUGGUGCAUGGCCGUUCUUAGUUGGUGGAGUGAUUUGUCUGGUUAAUUCCGUUAACGAACGAGACCUCAGCCUGCUAAAUAGUCGAGCGAACAUUUCGGUGUUCGCGCUACGACUUCUUAGAGGGACUGUCGGUUUCUAGCCGACGGAAGUGUGAGGCAAUAACAGGUCUGUGAUGCCCUUAGAUGUCCUGGGCUGCACGCGCACUACACUGUUGCACACAGCGAGCAUUAACCCUUAACCGAUAGGUCUGGGUAAUCUUUGAAAGUGCAACGUGCUGGGGCUAGAUUAUUGCAAUUAUUAGUCUUCAACCAGGAAUGCCUAGUAAACGCGGGUCAUCAGCUCGCAUUGAUUACGUCCCUGCCCUUUGUACACACCGCCCGUCGCUCCUACCGAUUGAAUGAUCCGGUAAAGUCUUUGGACCGUGACUGCUUGGGGGCAACCUUAAGUAGAUGUGGGAAGUUGAUUAAACCUUAUCAUUUAGAGGAAGGAGAAGUCGUAACAAGGU